CCAUAGCUCAAUGGAUAGAGCACCCGCCUUCUAAGCGGAUGAUAUAGGUUCGAUUCCCAUUGG
rnacentral:tRNA from 1 species